AUUGAACGCUGGCGGAAUGCUUUACACAUGCAAGUCGAACGGCAGCACGGGUGCUUGCACCUGGUGGCGAGUGGCGAACGGGUGAGUAACAUAUCGGAACGUGCCCAGUAAUGGGGGAUAACUAACCGAAAGGUUAGCUAAUACCGCAUACGCCCUGAGGGGGAAAGCGGGGGAUCGAAAGACCUCGCGUUAUUGGAGCUGCCGAUAUCUGAUUAGCUAGUUGGUAGGGUAAAGGCCUACCAAGGCGACGAUCAGUAGCUGGUCUGAGAGGAUGAUCAGCCACACUGGGACUGAGACACGGCCCAGACUCCUACGGGAGGCAGCAGUGGGGAAUUUUGGACAAUGGGCGAAAGCCUGAUCUAGCCAUUCCGCGUGAGUGAAGAAGGCCUUCGGGUUGUAAAGCUCUUUCGGCAGGAACGAAACGCUCUAGAUUAAUACUCUGGGGUAAUGACGGUACCUGAAGAAGAAGCACCGGCUAACUACGUGCCAGCAGCCGCCGUAA
rnacentral:rRNA from 1 species